rnacentral:rRNA from 1 species
UACGGGAGGCAGCAGUGAGGAAUAUUGGUCAAUGGGCGCAAGCCUGAACCAGCCAUGCCGCGUGCAGGAUGACGGUCCUAUGGAUUGUAAACUGCUUUUGUACGGGAAGAAACACUCCUACGUGUAGGGGCUUGACGGUACCGUAAGAAUAAGGAUCGGCUAACUCCGUGCCAGCAGCCGCGGUAAUAAUCGUCGACCUG